UACGUAGGGUGCAAGCGUUGUCCGGAAUUAUUGGGCGUAAAGAGCUCGUAGGCGGUUUGUCGCGUCGGCUGUGAAAACCUGGGGCUCAACCCCGGGCCUGCAGUCGAUACGGGCAGACUAGAGUGCGGUAGGGGAGACUGGAAUUCCUGGUGUAGCGGUGAAAUGCGCAGAUAUCAGGAGGAACACCGGUGGCGAAGGCGGGUCUCUGGGCCGUAACUGACGCUGAGGAGCGAAAGUGUGGGGAGCAAACAGG
rnacentral:rRNA from 1 species